AAGCAAUCUAUCUGUGUUACCACUAUGAAUGUCCUUUUCUACAUCUUAUGAAUAUAAAGUAAUGUGACCUGUCAUAAGUGAUCGAACUUGUACUCUUUUGUACUACAAAUCAUCAGGGGUUAGUACAAAAUGCCGAAGUUUCUCUGAUGCUAACAUGCGACAUUUCUGAAUAUGUGAAAUUAUAAUAGAUUUCAAUAUUGAAUAAUAUUUGUUUUAGAUGUCAGACUUGAAUAUAUAUGAGCUAAUGCGCAUUUGAAAUGAAAUAGAAGAAAUUAGCAAACAAUUAAAUGCUGCUUUUAUGAAAAAAAAGAAAAAUGCAGCAUAAUGCACUAGUCUCAUUAACACAGUCUGAAGAGCAAACAGUGAAGAUGAUAGAUGAAAACCUGAAAUGAGAAAACGAUAAUAGUAUGACGGGUUUGUUGAUGAAAGAAAGUAAGGAAUUGUGUUUACAAUGGGUUUGUAAAGGAAAGAAGAAGGC
rnacentral:lncRNA from 1 species